UAGCGAAGGGGGCUAGCGUUGCUCGGAAUCACUGGGCGUAAAGGGUGCGUAGGCGGGUCUUUUAAGUCAGGGGUGAAAUCCUGGAGCUCAACUCCAGAACUGCCUUUGAUACUGAAGAUCUUGAGUUCGGGAGAGGUGAGUGGAACUGCGAGUGUAGAGGUGAAAUUCGUAGAUAUUCGCAAGAACACCAGUGGCGAAGGCGGCUCACUGGCCCGGUACUGACGCUGAGGUGCGAAAGCGUGGGGAGCAAACGGG
rnacentral:rRNA from 1 species